UACGGAGGAUGCAAGCGUUAUCCGGAUUUAUUAGGUUUAAAGGGUGUGUAGGCGGACUGCUAAGUCAGUGGUGAAAUCCCGCAGCUUAACUGCGGAACUGCCAUUGAUACUGGUUGUCUUGAGUACAGUUGAAGUAGGCGGAAUGUGUAAUGUAGCGGUGAAAUGCUUAGAUAUUACACAGAACACCGAUUGCGAAGGCAGCUUACUAAGCUGUUACUGACGCUGAUGCACGAAAGCGUGGGGAGCGAACAGG
rnacentral:rRNA from 1 species